GCCAAGAUGGCGGAAAGGCUAACGCAGUGGACUGCAGAUCCAUUAUUUCCCGGUUCGAUUCCGGGUCUUGGCU
rnacentral:tRNA from 1 species